UACGAAGGGGGCGAGCGUUGUUCGGAUUUACUGGGCGUAAAGGGCGCGCAGGCGGCUUUGUUUGUCAGGCGUGAAAGCCCCGGGCUUAACCUGGGAACUGCGUUUGAUACGGCAGGGCUAGAGUUCGGGAGAGGAGAGUGGAAUUCCCAGUGUAGAGGUGAAAUGCGCAGAUAUCAGGAGGAACACCGGUGGCGAAGGCGGGUCUCUGGGCAGUAACUGACGCUGAGGAGCGAAAGCGUGGGGAGCGAACAGG
rnacentral:rRNA from 1 species